UACGAAGGGUGCAAACGUUGUCCGGAAUCAUUGGGCGUAAAGCGCGCGUAGGUGGCCUCAUAAGUCCGCUGUGAAAGUCAAAGGCUCAACCUUUGAAAGCCGGUGGAUACUGUGAGGCUAGAGUACGGAAGAGGCGAGUGGAAUUCCUGGUGUAGCGGUGGAAUGCGCAGAUAUCAGGAGGAACACCGAUGGCGAAGGCAAUCCCCUGGACCUGUACUGACGCUCAUGCACGAAAGCGUGGGGAGCAAACAGG
rnacentral:rRNA from 1 species